CCUCGGGAAAGGAAACUCUGGACGUCUGCGCCAGGUUCCGGCUGCAGGGGACCGCGCACUCGUAGCACCACGCAGGCGCCACGCUACAGCUGCCGGCGCCGCAUGGGCCACAGGGAUGCCAGGGAUGUGAGGGCUUGGCCUCCCCUUCACUUGGGGAAAUUUGCCCUGUCCGGCACCAGGAUGAACAAUCUUCUUUAGCCUGUGGUGUCUGUGAAUCUGAAGAGAAUGCUGGGGGCGAUCACAUGGAAAAAUAUGUUCCAGUGUUGACUCCUGAACCCCUGCUAAGAUAUUCGAGGAAAGAAGAUUCCUCCUCUCCUGUCUCAGCUGGAGCC